AGUAAGGCUCUCUUCAGAGCCACCUUGCUGUCAAAAAAAGCCUCAGU
rfam:Caprimulgus carolinensis contig111696, whole genome shotgun sequence.